GGACGAUGAGGCAAUGCCUAUUCCAGGGAUGUUUUCCACAGUAAAUCUGAGUCCGGCUCCGUGAGAUUGAAGUCCCUGGGAGUGAGGCUCUGGGGCGGCUUGACCGACUCCAGCAGAGUAAAUCCCCAGAGUGGAUGACGACUUUCCAGCUGGAAAUGGAGCAGGAUCUAACCAGGAAGAGGAAUGGCAACUACUCAGCCGGACUCAGCAGCGGGCAGGAGCCUCCGAGGGCACAGGAAUUCAACGCAUCAAACUUCUGUUUGGAG
rnacentral:lncRNA from 1 species